AUUGUGCCGAGUGAUUUUAUUAGCAGAAAACAUUUACUUCAUUUGCCUUAACUUUUCAGAGGGCUUUCACAGGCAGACGUGGAAACAUUGCCGAAGGCUGGGCGAGCAGCCCACCGAGCACAAACCAGCAAAGCAGUGCUGGUUUUACUGCUACGACGAAGGAAGAAAUAGAGUGCACCGAAAGCUUGAAUCUUACGGUACUCCGUGCCUCCGCUGGCCCCACCUUCCCCUUGGCUUUUGCUGGGGCUCCCAUUGCUAUCAGGACCGUUACGGCAGGCGCCCUUCCUGGACUUCCCCUCCAAGCAAUUCCGGCCGAGCAGGUGGACAGCCGAUUGGCCCGGCUUCAACGACGACUGGAAUGCCGCCGUCAGCACCGUACACGCCUCGUACGGAUAGACCACCUAACGGGAGCACCGUAAACAAAAAUUCAACGGCAUACGAUGAACCGGCCACGAAACAGCCACGAAAUAAAACUUAACUUGGCUGCAGUUCCAAUUUCGUUAUUGAAAUAUAAUUACAACGCUGAAGU
rnacentral:misc_RNA from 1 species